rnacentral:rRNA from 1 species
AGGACGAACGCUGGCGGCGUGCUUAACACAUGCAAGUCGAGCGGUAAGGCCUUUCGGGGUACACGAGCGGCGAACGGGUGAGUAACACGUGGGUGAUCUGCCCUGCACUUCGGGAUAAGCCUGGGAAACUGGGUCUAAUACCGGAUAUGACCUCAGGUUGCAUGACUUGGGGUGGAAAGAUUUAUCGGUGCAGGAUGGGCCCGCGGCCUAUCAGCUUGUUGGUGGGUAAUGGCCUACCAAGGCGACGACGGGUAGCCGACCGUGGAGAGGGUGACCGGCCACACGUGGGACUAGGACGACACGGCCCAGACCUCCGUACGGGAGGCAGCGAGGUAGGGAAUAGUUGACCUACGAAGUGGGACGAAAGGCCUAGAGU